UAACCUGCCCAAGAGAUCAGGAUAACACCUGGAAACAGAUGCUAAUACCGGAUAAUAACAGAUGAUGCCUAUCAACUGUUUAAAAGAUGGUUCUGCUAUCACUCUUGGAUGGACCUGCGGUGCAUUAGCUAGUUGGUAGGGUAACGGCCUACCAAGGCGAUGAUGCAUAGCCGAGUUGAGAGACUGAUCGGCCACAUUGGGACUGAGACACGGCCCAAACUCCUACGGGAGGCAGCAGGG
rnacentral:rRNA from 1 species